UUGGUCCUUGAACCGAGUUCAAGGAGUAGCCCCCUGGUGGUUCAUUGAGAACUCAUGGAUAUUGAUCAGUCAUCCUUGAAGCUGCAACAACAACUCUAAUUUUCCUGACUGGUGCUGUCAAGCAUUAACAAGGAAGCAAACACCAAACAUGCCUGACAGGCCUGCCGUCAACACAUCUGUUAUCUCUGUCUCCGCAACAACUCUGAAUCCACAGUUUGCAGAGCUUUAUAUCGAAUACGUGCGUUAACAUCCUUUGUUUGUGCUGACUGGGAGGACUCUGCUGCCAUCAGCGUGUGAACAGACGAAUGACAAAUGGCAAAUUGCAAAGAAUUGGGUCAAAACCAGUUCCUUCUGUAUUUCCAACACGCCUUCCCACACCUUCCCUCUAAAGUUAGCGUUCUGGCAAGCCAAUCAGCAGCAGGGAGGAAGCAGCUGGCUGUGUUAUCACCUGGCCGAUCUCCCAACACGCAUCGCACAGGAAGUGAGAAUGAGAUUGAGAGAUUGAGGCUGGUGCGUGUGAUCAGACGGGACGUCGGAUCCCAGCAGGCCACUGCCUUUACAAACCCGGUGAGAUGAGGGCACUCGUUCCCGCCACGCUACCGCACUGUGCUGUAAUCGUGCUUAUGACUCACACUCUCUACUAAAGUGCAAUUGAACCCCAAAUCUCAACUGUGCCAGUGCUCAAGUCACUGAGUAUGAGAAUAAUACACAUGGGUGUUUAAUGUGAGCGUAUUCCUUCAGCCGCAUUUGAUUGUGCUGCACACUUCUGUUAUGCUUAGGGUGAAGAAAAUAGUCUCCGUGCCUGUGACAUAUUUACUCCAGUAUGAUUUACUGAGCUCUGGUGUAAAAAUGGCUAAAAAUAAGGUUUUAAUUUUUAAUUUUUGGAGGGGACUGGCAUCAAAGCCUGUAAAUGGCAGCUGAUAACUGAGGUCUUGACUCUUGAUGUCGCACUGUUACUGAGCUCCGCUGCAAUCAGUGAAACUGGGCAAAUGACGAAUGGCAAAUUUAAAGCAACUUGUCCGAUAAGGUAAGAAAGGGCUAAAUAAAGUACAAUACUUUCUGUUGUGUGCUGGAAUUUUAGUGCUAAACAUACAGAUUUUGUAGCCGCUGGAAAGAUAUUAUUUCACAGUAAAAGCUUUUGAACAGCAACAACAACUGGGAACGCUUUUACUGUGAAGCAGCUGCAAAAAUGCGUCCGCUUAGUCACCAAGAUUGGCCGAUCAUACUUUGCUCAACAUAUGGACAUUUCUUUUGUGCUCUGCAGAUGUCUGAUCUGUUUUAAAUAGCUGGGAGGAAUUUUGAAUUGUAAAUGGGGAAACUGGGAAAUGAAGAAAUGAAGAAUCUGCCACAAGCAAAACUGAUAAACAUAAAUCGUAGAAUUAAGUUCUGCAGACGUCUGUGUAAACUUCAAACCUCCUACACGUUAACACCGGAUGGGUGCAUCAACAUCAAUGUUGCAAGGUGAAAAGUUAAACACCUGGAGGUCAGCUAAACUAGAUUUUUUAUUUUUAUUAAAACAAGUUGACCACCUCAGUUUUAUGUACUGCAGCUAUAUAUGAAAUCACACACGACAGCCCUGGCAUCAUCGGAGGUCCGACAUCAUGCACAUCGUUUCUGGCGUAUUAUAAAUUAUAAAUUACCAAACUAAAAGUCUCUAUGUAACAUUAUCUGUCAGAGCUGGGACACUUUGAUUGUUUUAAGAGGUAUUAAACUCUGUGCUGCUGCCAAAGGAAUGUGUGAAGUCUGUUUCCGUAAACGCAAAUACAUUUUAAUAGAAACUUCUCUAGCAGGUCGUGUUCUAAAUUUUAUUUCCGUUUGAUUUUCAUAUUGAUUUCUCAUCUUGGGUUUAUCGUUUGAUAAAGUGUUUUCUUUCCUCUUUCUGUCUCUCCUUCUCUCUUGUUUUCAUUUUUGCAUUCAUUAGCCGAUUAGUCUCUUUAAAUGCAUCAUUUGCCCUCAACUGCAGUCAAUCAAAGCUAUUGUGUUAUCAAACAGAUGCUUGCAAUUUGACUCUAGACUCUAAACCUUCCACUG